AGCCACCUUCGGGUGGUGGACAGUGGCAGACGGGUGAGUAACGCGUGGGAACGUGCCUUUCGGUUCGGAAUAACCCAGGGAAACUUGGGCUAAUACCGGAUACGCCCUUCGGGGGAAAGAUUCAUUGCCGAAAGAUCGGCCCGCGUCGGAUUAGCUAGUUGGUGGGGUAAUGGCUCACCAAGGCGACGAUCCGUAGCUGGUCUGAGAGGAUGACCAGCCACACUGGGACUGAGACACGGCCCAGACUCCUACGGGAGGCAGCAGUAGGGAAUCUUCCGCAAUGGACGCAAGUCUGACGGAGCAACGCCGCGUGAGUGAUGAAGGUUUUCGGA
rnacentral:rRNA from 1 species